rnacentral:rRNA from 1 species
AAAACGACUCUCGGCAACGGAUAUCUCGGCUCUCGCAUCGAUGAAGAACGUAGCGAAAUGCGAUACUUGGUGUGAAUUGCAGAAUCCCGUGAACCAUCGAGUCUUUGAACGCAAGUUGCGCCCUAAGCCUUCUGGCCGAGGGCACGUCUGCCUGGGUGUCCCAAA